rnacentral:rRNA from 1 species
UACGGAGGAUGCAAGCGUUAUCCGGAAUGAUUGGGCGUAAAGCGUCCGCAGGUGGCUGUGUAAGUCUGCUGUCAAAGAGCAAAGCUCAACUUUGUAAAGGCAGUGGAAACUACACGGCUAGAGUGCGUUCGGGGCAGAGGGAAUUCCUGGUGUAGCGGUGAAAUGCGUAGAGAUCAGGAAGAACACCGGUCGCGAAGGCGCUCUGCUAGGCCGCAACUGACACUGAGGGACGAAAGCUAGGGGAGCGAAUGGG